GAGGGUAUAGCUCAGUGGUAGAGUGCAUGCUUAGCAUGCAUGAGGUCCUGGAUUCAAUUCCUAGUACCUCCA
rnacentral:tRNA from 1 species